CCUACGGGAGGCAGCAGUGAGGAAUAUUGGUCAAUGGACGAGAGUCUGAACCAGCCAAGUAGCGUGAAGGAUGACUGCCCUAUGGGUUGUAAACUUCUUUUAUAUGGGAAUAAAACGUUCAACGUGUGGGAUUUUGUAUGUACCUUAUGAAUAAGGAUCGGCUAACUCCGUGCCAGCAGCCGCGGUAAUACGGAGGAUCCGAGCGUUAUCCGGAUUUAUUGGGUUUAAAGGGAGCGUAGGUGGAUUGUUAAGUCAGUUGUGAAAGUCUGGGGCUCAACCGUAAAAUUGCAGUUGAAACUGGCAGGCUUGAGUACAGUAGAGGUAGGCGGAAUGCGUGGUGUAGCGGUGAAAUGCUUAGAUAUCACGAAGAACUCCGAUUGCGAAGGCAGUUCACUGGACUGCAACUGACACUGAGGCUCGAAAGUGUGGGGAUCAAACAGGAUUAGAUACCCGAGUAGUC
rnacentral:rRNA from 1 species